rnacentral:tRNA from 1 species
CGGGCCAUCGGAUAGUGGUAGUCUAUGCGCAUGGGGUGCGUAUGGCGGCAGUUCGAUUCUGCCUGGCCCGA